rnacentral:tRNA from 1 species
UGCCUUCGGUCGGACUCGAACCGACACGCAUCACUGCACGAGUUCCUAAAACUCGCAUGGCUACCAUUACAUCACGAAGGC